UUUGGGCUCAAAAAGCUUAGACCAUCAUGGCUACGAAAACGGCUGCUACUCAGAAAAUAUGUAACUCUGGAGCUCCUUAGUGAAAAAGUAGUCAAAGGCAACAUCAGAGCAGUUGCCAAGUGAUCUUCUCCACAGCACCCAUGAACUUCAGCUUUGAACUGAAGAGGACUCAUCAAAUGGAGAGGCAGCAUGGAAUUGGAAGAGAAGCGGGGAUCUUCAUGAAGGGCAGUCAAGUGCAGUUUUGGUGUGUGAAGGAACAGGUCCUGUUUUCACUGUUGUUACUCCCACAUGGGCGGACUCUGUAACUGAUUAUGUCUGGGUAGGGCCCUAUUGAAAUUAAGGAGAUUCUACAAUAGUGCAGGGUUUUUUUGUGAAAGUUCUGUUGCAAGAUCAGGACGCUACUGUGACUCCUUACUGUGAAUUCUGUCAGUGUAUCAUUGAUUGUGCUGGAACCUGCCUUUUGGGAUAAUGUAAGUCCUGCUUUUCCCCCAAAUGUACUUUAGACAUGAAAUAAUCAUAAAACAUUUCUAAUUGGAAAAGUAAUAUAAUUUACAUGCGUUCUUUUAAUUAUGUUUUUUUGGCAGUACCAAAUAAUAUAUUCCUCAAAACUUCUUAAUGGCACUGAGACUUUGUGGAUAGUUGGUCACAUGAUGAGAAAAUUCAGCUAGUCUAGGAUUCAGAUCUUAGGAUGGGAUGAAUCGCCCUCUGGAGGUGCCCGUUUCAGUCUACUGACUUCACAGGAAUCCUGCUUUGAACUGACAAGCUCAAGCUAAAAGUCAAGUGAGU
rnacentral:lncRNA from 1 species